GAUCGAAUCACAAGGACUCAAGAUAAUUUUACUGUAACACCUCCUAGCCUUUGAAAAUAAACGCGGUAUUUUUCCCUUACAGAUUGAUUAUUACUUAAAUCCUAAGAACUAUAACCUAUCUUAUUACCAAAUUUUUAUACUGAAUAUUAUAAUUUUUUUUGUUACUCGAAAUUUAUGAUUAUUAACUCUUUUUUUUUUUCUUUUAGUUCCAAAAAAGGAGACAGCAAAUUUUAUGGACGUCACAUAUAUAUAUAUAUAUAUCAAGGACAACACAACGUUUACGCUUCUUUCCGGAGGAAACAGAUUUUGAACGCCAGGCAAACCCUGAAAUGAAGCUGGACUUGUUGACUGGUCCUUUUACAAUGCCGGCGUUCUGGGCGGGAUCAAUAACAGGCACAGCAAAAAGCUCAAAGUUGCAGCUGGCCAGUUUACAAUUCAAAUCUCCACACCCUCAAUGUAACUUUUUUUGGCUUUUUUCUCCUGUGGACAACUUGCCACUACCUUGCGUUACCAAAAAGAAAAGGCAAUUUCCCGCCGUUGUGCUGACCAAAACCGGACAAUUUUCGGUGCUUCCAAAAAAGCUUGAUACACCACCGGGAUAUUCACAAUAAAAAAAUCGCAACACACAAAUUAAAUUUUUCCACUUCUUCACUGCUCUCUAGCUAAGUUUCACCGCUCACCCCGGAGUAGUAGUAGGUUCCCACCUACUCAGCAAUCAUAGGGCUGCCUAGUCACUUCUUAGCCUGAGUCACCCUGUCAUUCACUACCUUUAUAAUACUCUUUAACUCAACCCUGUUCGAGCCUAAUUUCGUACGUAGCGAACCCUAUCAAACCAUUUCCGGCAUUUUGAUCCCAUCGCCACCCAGACUACACACCCCGCAGAAAUUACAAGCAAAUUGAAAUCUCGAAGCAUCCUCACCAUCCUCACUAAAAACCCAAGAAAACUGAGCAAAUCCAUUUGAGGACCAAUUAUGGGAUGCACUACCAACAGAAUUGGGAUAAUUUCUGCGGUGGUUGUGGACAGGUUUUGCCAAAAAACACGGCCCCAUAUAUUUGUUGCCUUUUUGCGCCGCAUGUGAACGGCCUGCAACAAAACUUCAACUUCGGCCACAAAAUCGAGGACGGAGGUGAUGUGCACGGCCGCAUUACUCAUUUACGUGGGGACAUCCCACUCCCUGAAGGUCUCAUGCCGGGCAUAAGCUCCGAACAGCAGGCUGGUCAAAGCCCUCCCCCUCAUGCUGAUCUGUGAAACAUGUCUUGCUAGUUCGCCUGAUAAUUCUCGAUCCGACACCCUGAAAAUAUCGUGUCACUACCAAACAUCGAUCGAGUUCCGAGUCCGGGAAACUCGCUGGUAAUUCCCCUAUAGCAGGUCAACAUUUGGGAAGAUCAAAAACGCUCAUAAAUUUUACAAUACGCAUUCGGUUAUUUAUAAAAUCCCGCAUUCAGUAUUUCUACUAAGACAAGUUCAGAGGAACGGAUGGGAUUUAUCGGCCCACUCCUUUGGGACCUUCACUACAAAAAGGUAAACAUCCGGAACAACCCAAUAAUUCUACCAACCCAAGACCUUGUGUGGAGUUGGAAUAUAUUUGUCCUCUCUGGCGGAUCCACACUGGUAACACCCAACAGCUCUAAAUGAAAAAUUCUCCGAUUUCAUCAAAAUUUCACACAUUCUUCUUGGUUAUGGAUAUAAUCUUCAAAGUUGGAAUCUAUACGUACUUUGAUACACAAAUAAUUUGAUCAAAUUAUUGAAAUCAUGGUACAAUAAAAAAGUAAGGUGGUGAAACAUUUUGCAUGCGGAAAUAUUUGUGCCUAUGCCUGUCUUGUCGUCGUGGUUGCCGAAGAACGGAUUUUGUAUGCGGUAUUUGCUGAUGUGAUUGAUAGGUAAACAAAUACCAUAAUCGUGGUGUCUACGUGAUUGUCUGGUAGAAUGUAGUUUUAUGUAUGUUCGCUUUUUAUGUAUGGGAAUCUUUCAUUAAUUUAUGCCGGAAUAAACCAGAUUGUGCUAUUUUUAUCGCCA